rnacentral:piRNA from 1 species
UGAUAGACAGAAUCGCGAUACGAACGAU